ACUGGCCUCACGUCACCUUCAUGAUCUCCUCCUACUAUGCUUCCUUCACCAUGCUCUCGGAUAUCAGCUACCUUUGCUUGCCAUCAGUCAGGAGCCACCAUCAGGAAAAAGACUGGAAAAGAAAACCUCUACCUGGCCCUAUGAAAAGUAGACAUUAACUCCAUUUUAUGAAAGUGAUCCAUAAAGAUGUGCCUGGAGACAGUAAGAAAAAAGAGGCAGCCAUUACAUUAAAUAAACAGAUAUCCUGAUUAUCAAGGAAGUUUAAUUCAGUACGCAAGACAGGGAAGUCAAAUGAGAAAGUAAGAAAACAACCCGAAGAAUGAAUGCGAGUGUUUGUGGAAUAACAGACAAAUGGUGCUAUUCCAAACUCUACACAAAGACUUUAUGUAUAUUAGAGAAAGAAGAGAGGAAGGGAUUGAGCCACUUUUGCUGUGAGACCAAGAC